rnacentral:rRNA from 1 species
UACGUAGGUGGCAAGCGUUAUUCGGAAUUACUAGGCGUAAAGGACAGGUAGGUUGUCAAGUAAGUUGAGAGUGAAAUCCCCUGCUUAAUCAGGGAGGGUCUUUCAAAACUGCUUGGCUUGAGUGUAGGAGGGGAAAUUGGAAUUCCUGGUGUAGCGGUGAAAUGCGUAGAUAUCAGGAGGAACACCGAUGGCGAAAGCGAAUUUCUAUCCUACUACUGACACUGAUCUGUGAAGGCGCGGGGAGC